rnacentral:rRNA from 1 species
AUAUUGGACAAUGGGCGAAAGCCUGAUCCAGCCAUGCCGCGUGUGUGAAGAAGGUCUUCGGAUUGUAAAGCACUUUAAGUUGGGAGGAAGGGGUUGAAGCUAAUACCUUCAAUCUUUGACGUUACCAACAGAAUAAGCACCGGCUAACUCUGUGCCAGCUGCCGGGGUAAUACAGAGGGCGCAAGCGUUAAUCGGAAUUACUGGGCGUAAAGCACGCGUAGGUGGGUCAGUAAGAUAGAAGUGAAAUCCCCGGGCUUAACCUGGGAACGGCUUUCAUAACUGAUGGGGUAGAGUGAGGUAGAGGGUAGUGGAAUUUCCUGUGUAGCGGUGAAAUGCGUAGAUAUAGGAAGGAACACCAGUGGCGAAGGCGACUACCUGGACUGAUACUGACACUGAGGUGCGAAAGCGUGGGGGGCAAACA